rnacentral:lncRNA from 12 species
ACACCUGCAGCGGUACUCACCAAGGCUCUGCGGAAUACUCUGCACUUCCAGGGAUGCUCUCCAAUCAAAUGCUUUCAAUCUUGGGAGACAGAAAUGUUUAAUGAGGAGACAUCAUAUGCUGAACACCAUGGGAGGUGAUGAAUGAGCAUAUCUGCCCAUUAGGAGAUUAUUCUCUACAGGAGGGGACCAAAGUCACAGGCCAGUGAGAAUCAAGGAGAGAAGAGAACCUCUGGCUGGAAGACAGAGCCAUUCCAUCUCCAAAAGGACUUUAUUUUACCCACAGCAGGAGGCAGUGGGGUA